AUACGUAGGGGGCGAGCGUUGUCCGGAAUGAUUGGGCGUAAAGGGCGCGUAGGCGGCCCGGUAAGUCUGGAGUGAAAGUCCUGUUUUUAAGAUGGGAAUUGCUUUGGAUACUGUCGGGCUUGAGUGCAGGAGAGGUAAGUGGAAUUCCCAGUGUAGCGGUGAAAUGCGUAGAGAUUGGGAGGAACACCAGUGGCGAAGGCGAAUAACGGGACUGUACCUGACGCUGAGGGGCAAAAGUGUGGGGAGCAACCAGGAUUAGAUACCCGGGUAGCCCACACGGUAAACGAUAAAUGCUAGGGGUAGGGGGUUUCGACCCCUUCGGGGCGGCAGUCAACCCAAUAAGAAUUCGGCCGGGGAGUACGGCCGCAAGGUUGAAACUCAAAUGAAUUGACGGGG
rnacentral:rRNA from 1 species